UUUUUAAUGUGUUUUCUUGUCCAUUAACAAAAUAUUCAGACUCCUACUCUGCUUGGGUGCCCUGGAGUCUAACUGCCUUCAGCACUGCCAGUGUGAGUUUUAUUCUUUCUUAAUAAGCCACAGUGGAGUGCAGAGCUGAAAGCUGGCUGCCUAGAAUAUGCAGCAGAGUAUGAAAAAGGCAGGAGCUGUUCACAGACUGGGAGAUAAUGCAAAUAUCAGACUCUUGUCAGGGCAGAGGAACAAACAAGUGAAAUAUCCAGAGGCCACACUCCAGGAGCCAAAUGGGGGAUCUGGGACAAGACAGUCAAAGAUUUUCCCAAGGCAAUGCUGAACUUAGUGAUAGAUCUAACCUGCACUGCAGGUCUUCCAGAUUCUACCUGAUUGACCUAGAAGCAGAUCUCUUCCCAGGCUGCAUUGGAAAACUCAUACCUUCAAUUUAUCUUGGUCAUUAACUGCUCCGAAGAUGGCACUGGAUUCAUGAAGUCUGACAAGGCAGAAUUUGGACAAUAACCUGUGGAAGGCCAUUGAAUUUCAGCACCAAUCACUGUGAAUCUAUUUACUCGCUACAAAAGCCUUUAAUUUACUGUGUUAAAUCACAACUGUAAAAAUUGUCAACUCAAAUAUUUCCCAUCAACUAUAAAGCAUUAAAGUACAAAUUCCAUUUUUAA
rnacentral:lncRNA from 10 species